rnacentral:rRNA from 2 species
CUUAAAUUGAAGAGUUUGAUCAUGGCUCAGAUUGAACGCUGGCGGCAGGCCUAACACAUGCAAGUCGAGCGGAAACGACACUAACAAUCCUUCGGGUGCGU